CGUGGCAGAGCCACCUAUUGAGGUGAUCCUGUAUUAGACUUCAUGACUAGCACACGACGCUGUGGUGCAUUAUGCUUAGUACCUGAGCCCAAUCUUAUUCUGUUACUCUCUCCUGUGAACGGGAAUGCGUUAUGCAGAUAUAGGUGUCACUAGCGUCCAUCUGCAGAAGUUUUUACUGGGUUUAACGACGGCGAUGUUGGCCUGAUAUAUUCGACGAUGCCCUUUGGCUACACUGACUAAAGGAUUCUUCUAAGGAAUACCAAAUUAAGUGUAACGUAGCACGACAUUGCCAGAUAACAUUCAGUACAGUAUAACAACCAGACGUGUAUCACGGGGGCUGCAGGAAGAAGCCUCAGCCGUCAGUCACGCUCAGCUGACGCUUGCGUCUGUGGGAACGAAGGGAAGUAACGCCUAGUAGGAACGCAAAUUCAUGCGCUCUACGAAUCUAAAUAAGCUUCAGUAAUUAUUAAUCGAUUAUGUUCAAACUUAGUACCC